rnacentral:rRNA from 1 species
CAGCAGCCACGGGAAUACGUAGGUGGCAAGCGUUGUCCGGAAUUAUUGGGCGUAAAGCGCGCGCAGGUGGUUUAAUAAGUCUGAUGUGAAAGCCCACGGCUCAACCGUGGAGGGUCAUUGGAAACUGUUAAACUUGAGUGCAGGAGAGAAAAGUGGAAUUCCUAGUGUAGCGGUGAAAUGCGUAGAGAUUAGGAGGAGCACCAGUGGCGAAGGCGGCUUUUGGCCUGUAACUGACACUGAGGCGCGAAAGCGUGGGGAGCAAACAGGAUUAGAUACCCCAGUAGUCCCUGUCUCUUAUACC